GCCCGGGUGGUGGAAUGGUAGACACGAGGGACUUAAAAUCCCUUUCUCAUAAGAGAGUACGGGUUCGAGCCCCGUCCUGGGCACCA
rnacentral:tRNA from 2 species